rnacentral:rRNA from 1 species
CCUACGGGUGGCAGCAGUGAGGAAUAUUGGUCAAUGGACGCAAGUCUGAACCAGCCAUGCCGCGUGCAGGAUGAAGGCUCUAUGAGUUGUAAACUGCUUUUGUACGAGGGUAAACCCCGAUACGUGUACCGGGAUGAAAGUAUCGUACGAAUAAGGAUCGGCGAACUCCGUGCCAGCAGCCGCGGUAAUACGGAGGAUCCGAGCGUUAUCCGGAUUUAUUGGGUGUAAAGGGUGCGUAGGCGGUUUGGUAAGUUAGAGGUGAAAUGUCGGGGCUCAACCCCGAGACUGCCUCUAAUACUGUGGGACUAGAGAAAAGGUGAGGUAGGCGGAAUGUAUGGUGUAGCGGUGAAAUGCGUAGAGAUCAUAAAGAACACCGGUUGCGAAGGCAGCUUACCAGACUAUAUCUGACGUUGAGGCACGAAAGCGUGGGGAGCAAACAGGAUUAGAUACUCCAGUAGUC